rnacentral:rRNA from 1 species
AAAAGUACUUUGAAGAGAGAGUUCAAGAGGACGUGAAACCGGUAGGAUGGAAACGGAUAGAGCCAACGAACAAGCCCGUAUUCAGCUAGUCGGCUGCGUGCGGCAUGCCUGUGUGCUCGUUCAGGGUGCAUGGGUGUGUGCGGUAUGCGGUCGGCUAGUGCAUUUGCGGGUGAUGUGCGCUGAGGCGUGUGGCGGAGUCCUGCAAACUGUCUGGAGAGGCCUCGCCUUCGGGCUUGAAACCUACAGGCGGGGAGUCGGGUUUCUGCUGCAUGUAGACGAAGCGGCUAGGUGCAAACGCGCUGUCGUGCUGCCGGGCUAGCUGCUUGGCCGGUCGCAUGCGACUAGGUCUUGUUGGUUGGUCUUGGUGGUACGGCAGUGCCCUGGUCGACCCUCGGUGUAAAAGUUGGUCAUCUCUCCGACCCGUCUUGAAACACGGACCAAGGAGUCUAGCGUAUGCGCGAGUCAUUGGGUGGAAAACCCAUAGGCGAAAUGAAAGUGAAGGUCUCUUCAUGAGGCUGAUAUGCGAUCCGUUGCACUACGGUGUACGCGGAGCAGCAUAGCCCCGUCUCGACUGCUUGCAGUGGGGCGGAGGUAGAGCGUAUACGCUGGUACCCGAAAGAUGGUGAACUAUGCCUGAGCAGGAUGAAGCCAGAGGAAACUCUGGUGGAGGUCCGAAGCGCUUCUGACGUGCAAAUCGAUCGUCUGACUUGGGUAUAGGGGCGAAAGACUAAUCGAACCAUCUAGUAG